UUGUAAGCAUACCUAGACAGAAAAGAAGCAAAAAAUCAAAUAAACUAUCCCUAAUUAAUCCUCUUGCUAGAGAGUCCAGGGACAAGGCAAGAGCAAGAGCUAGGGAGAGAACAAAAGAGAAACAGAAGAUCCAAGGCCUUGAGAAGUCCAAACACUAUUCUCAAGCAAACCCUAACAAUUUGGAGCAGUUAGGGCCUGCUAGCUCUCUCGAAAAUGG
rnacentral:misc_RNA from 1 species